CAACACACUGACCAUAUUCUACUCAACCGAAGGACAAGGAGAAGCAGACAGAAGGCAGGUGUUUCAAGAUUAUAAACCACUGAGUGCUGCUUCCACCGUCGUGAAGUUGAGAGAGUGACUCCAGCUCCCAUUCGUUCUCUGCUUGCUUGUUGCCUCGGUUUAAUUGUCUGAAGACCAGAAUCAAUGAAAAUUUGGAAACUUGUCUUAACUGCCUCCUUGGAUGCUGUUUGAGAAAUCACAGGAGGACAUGGCAAAGCAUUUAUAGUCACAAUGAUAAUAUCAUCAGUUAUGAGAAAAUUGGCAUGCAGGAUGAGAAAGUCAACACCACGACGCUUCAUCUGACUCCUACAAAACAUAUUAUGGAUGUCUGUGGAUAUUUUUACUCUUAAUUUUCUGGACGGUGAGUCUUAACAUGAGGCAAACAGUGGACAGCUGAAAAGCACAGCAGCCUCAGAAAGGCCGUUGUAAAUUUACUCUGAAAUACAGUCACACUGUUUAAAUACAGUAGUGUAUGAGUACAAUACUAUACUAAUCUGUCCAAUAAAUUUAACAUUGUGCUCAUUGA